rnacentral:rRNA from 1 species
CCUACGGGGUGCAGCAGUGGGGAAUAUUGCACAAUGGGCGAAACCCUGAUGCAGCAACGCCGCGUGAAGGAAGACGGUUUCCGGAUUGUAAACUUCUAUCAAUAGGGAAGAAAGAAAUGACGGUACGUACAUAAGAAGCCCCGGCUAACUACGUGCCAGCAGCCGCGGUAAUACGUAGGGGGCAAGCGUUAUCCGGAAUUACUGGGGGUAAAGGGAGAGUAGGCGGCAAGGUAAGCGAUAUGUGAAAGCCUUAAGCUUAACUUAAGGAUGGCAUAACGAACUAGCUAGCUAGAGUACAGGAGAGGAAAGCGGAAUUCCUAGUGUAGCGGUGAAAUGCGUAGAUAUUAGGAAGAACACCAGUGGCGAAGGCGGCUUUCUGGACUGAAACUGACGCUGAGGCUCGAAAGCGUGGGGAGCGAACAGGAUUAGAUACCCUUGUAGUC